CCCGGGACGCGCCGGCAGUCUCGGCGCCGCGUCCGUCCGGGACGCCCGCCGCCGCCAGCCCUGCGCGCCCGGCUCGACCCGGCUCCACCCCGCCUCUGUUCGGAGCAACUUUCUCCGCUUGCGGCAGCCGAGCCCCCUCCACAGCUGAAGGCUGACUGUCAAAAGUCAGUCCAACCCUACCCACAGGGAAACAGCUGCAGGAAGUGACUGCGGAACCGGGAGGCGGCGGAGGAGGAGACUGAGGGCGCCGGGUCGGCGUCGCAACUGCGCAUGUGCCUGACGGAGCAGGCCCAGCGGCAGCGACGGAAGGCGGCGGCGGCGGCGACGACCACGACUGCGGCUUCAGCAUCCCUGGCCACCGCCAGAGCGUGGGGCAGGUGCUUCAACCACAAGUUCGGGGGCUUCGCACUAAGACCGUACAGGAAACAAAGGCAUGAGUCAGAAAAAAGGUGCACCACUGCCCGUCUCUACCUACAACUCCUAAGAGCUGUUCACCAUGGACCCUGGAAAUUUGAUUCAUAGCUGAAGCCUGGGCAGAGCUUUUGCAACUUUCAUCUCUUUUUUACGAAGGCCAAACUACACCUCUCUGCACUUCCGCCCCUGGAUGGAGGAAGAAGAGCGCAGCUGCCCGCAUGGUGGCCUCCCGUCGCACAAGAACCCACGCACCUGCCCUCUCUCCCCCCUGCACUAAAGUGAGCAAGACUUGUUGGAGACUUUUUCUCCUGACCAACGGAGCUUCACCCUCAAGGCAGGAAGAACCAGGAAAGAGACUGACUAACGCUGGGAUACUGCAUCUCUCUCUUUGCCAACUUCGAUACCUUCGAGGCAGCUACUGCAUUUCCUUCCCGGUCUCAGAAGAAAGAAGCUGGCAAUUCCACAAUGUUUGUUUAAUAGGCAUUUGAAGCUCAUGGCAGUAACAGUUGUCUCAUAAAUCAGAGCUUGUGGUUUGGAAUAGCUGGACUUAAAAGAACUGAAAGAAAAAGAAAUGGUCCACAAACAAUGUAUUCAUCACUUUUACUGUAAAAAAAAAAAUGAUAAGGCUGCAUAA